rnacentral:misc_RNA from 1 species
GAUGAAGAACGUAGCGAAAUGCGAUAAGUAAUGUGAAUUGCAGAAUUCAGUGAAUCAUCGAAUCUUUGAACGCACAUUGCGCCCGCUAGUAUUCUGGCGGGCAUGCCUGUCCGAGCGUCAUUUCAACCCUCAAGCCCCCGGGCUUGGUGUUGGGGAUCGGCGAGCCUCCGCGCCCGCCGUCCCCUAAAUCUAGUGGCGGUCUCGCUGUAGCUUCCUCUGCGUAGUAGCACACCUCGCACUGGGAAACAGCGCGGCCACGCCGUUAAACCCCCAACUUCUGAACGUUUGACCUCGGUUCAGGUAGGAAUACCCGCUGAACUUAAGCAUAUCAAUAAGCGGAGGA